UACGGAGGAUCCAAGCGUUAUCCGGAUUUAUUGGGUUUAAAGGGUGCGUAGGUGGCCUGUUAAGUCAGGGGUGAAAGACGGUAGCUUAACUAUCGCAGUGCCCUUGAUACUGAUGGGCUUGAAUGAACUGGAGGUAGGCGGAAUGUGACAAGUAGCGGUGAAAUGCAUAGAUAUGUCACAGAACACCAAUUGCGAAGGCAGCUUACUAUGGUUUUAUUGACACUGAGGCACGAAAGCGUGGGGAUCAAACAGG
rnacentral:rRNA from 1 species